rnacentral:rRNA from 1 species
UACGUAGGGUGCAAGCGUUGUCCGGAAUUAUUGGGCGUAAAGAGCUCGUAGGCGGUUCGUCGCGUCGGCUGUGAAAUCCCGAGGCUCAACCUCGGGUCUGCAGUCGAUACGGGCGGACUGGAGUCGGCAGGGGAGACUGGAAUUCCUGGUGGUAGCGGUGAAAUGCGCAGAUAUCAAGGAGGAACACCGGUGGCGAAGGCGGCCCUCUGGAUCGUUGCUGACGCUGAUACGCGAAAGCGUGGGGAGCGAACCGG